AUACAUAAAAACUGUAUGGCAGGACUAUUCCUCUCGGCCAGCACGUCCCUCUCAAAACUAAUGGAGACAUCUGGUUGAGAACGACUUUUCACAUCCCUUUUCGAAGUAUGAACUUCCUUUCAAAAUAAACACGCGGAACCUUUCUGGGUCUCUCUUGCGGGAUUAGAGUAACAUCGACACCUUUGCAAGUUGUUUGCUGGCGAGUCCUCGACCUGCUCCUCGCAGCUGCCAGCGGGGAGGAAGAGAAAGCCCAUCCUCCAAAACACUCAGGUAACUCAAGCAGAAGCAGCGACAGGUGUUUCCGUCGUCCCUUCCACCAGGAACAGCGCCCCACCGGGUCUCCACCCUUCCCCGCGCACACGUGUCCUUCCGUGGGGUGGGGGGCCGCGUGCACCCUCACCUGAGCGCUUCGGAAGCCUGUAUCCCGAGCCACGACAGAGUUAAAGAAGAGGACGGGAAAACGAGGCAGUGUGAAAGUAUCACUUGAGAGACAGGGAGUGGAGUGUUCAGCCUUGUUUUUCAAUUGCAAGAGAAUGUGUGGCCAAUUUCUCCCAGGAAAAGAGAAAUGUUCCAAUAAUUUCUCAAUAGCAGGACUCUUCCAUAAAGCCUGACUGUCCCAGUUAGUUAACAAAGCAGCUCCAGAAAAUAGGAUUGUGCAAGAUCCAAUAACAUGUCAGACCCCAAAAAGCUUUCAAAAAGCUGUGAUACCUGUCUAAAGUGGCACCAAGGCUCAUCUCAGGAAGUGUGUACAGACAAACUUCAUUUACAGGACCACAUGAAGGCAAAGGAUGCUGCAGCAAUAAUUCAGCUUCUGCCUCCAACAGUUCAGCUGCAUUAAGAUAACUGCAAAGAGAAGAUUUUUGUGAGAACGUGUAUGUAGAGAUAUCCUCACUGACAAGGAUUUGUUUUGGGAUAUAGAAGGCGCUCACUGAACACACAACUGCAAAUAGGCAACUGCAAACCUAGCCCAUGUGUUUCAGUACAUUAUGCAAACCCAGAAAACGGACUUGAGGAAACCAUGAUUUGAUUAUCCAAGGUCAUGCAUAUAGUGCAAACCAAGCAAUAUAGGAAUUCUUUCCUGCUGCCAUGAAAGCUUAAAUUGGCCAGAAAGAUUGUUGAAGUAAUAUUUUGAUAUCACACAUGUAACAACUGGCAGAUGUUGUUGGGCAAUAUUACCAGUGAUCAUGCAGAACUUAAUAUUUUAGUCUGGCAGCUAAUUUCUUCAGAUGAAUCAGGUAUGUCUCUUUCCAGCUCCACCUGGUGAUCACACUGCAGACUACACUUCUGAACAACUUCUUCCACAUCUUCAAUUAUGUUAAAGGAAAUUUUGAAACCAAUACUGACUAGUAUUGUCUUGAAGAGAAACAGCUCAAUCCUCAACAUGUAUUUUUCUGUUCAUGCCUUCCUAUUGCUCCUACUUCCAAAUUCUAUACUCCACAAUGAGACCAGUCCUGGAAUGAAAAGUAGCCAGCAUAAUUUAGUCAUUUUUUAAAAGCAAGUAUAAAUAUUACUAAGCAAAGAGAAGAAAAUGCUCAUCUGUUCAAAUCCAUCAUCUGAAACAAUUUCCUGCCCUUCUAUUCUCACGUUUACAUCAGAACAUGCCCAUCAUUUUUGUAAGGAAAUGUUGCAUGUGGCACAGAUACAGCUAAGUUACAAGCUUGGUAAACCAGUCUACUGCUUCUGUAUCUUACUAAGCUUUGGGUGCUCUACCAAUUCUGCAUCUCACCAGACUUCAGCUGGUGUACCAACUGCAACCCUCUCUGAUGCAGAGGGAGAUAACUAGUGAUUCAUGCCCUUAUCACCAUCAAAUUGGAUUCCUGCAAGACAUUUUACAUGGGGUUGCCCUUGAAGAAUAUUCAGAAACUACAACCAAUGCAAGACCUACAGAGUAUGUUCCCAAUGCCAAACAGAAAAGACACCAAAAUUGGAUGCAAAAGCAACUGUAAGAUUAAUUUGAUAGACGUUCCUGGAAAGCAUUUGGCAGAAUUCUGAUUGAAAGGGUAUAGGAAAUAGCAAUCAUCAAAGUUUGGAAGAACAAUCUGCUUUACGUUGGACUGGUGUGGCAUUCAAAUUUUUGCUGUUCAGCAAAACACUGUAUGAAUGAGAAAAAGUGCAUGGUACAUUUGUUGAUUUAGAGAAAGUAUAUUUAAAAUAAACAAACUUGGAUUAUGAAA